rnacentral:rRNA from 1 species
UCAUGGUGAAAUAUUGAAAGACGGUUUCGGCUGUCGCUAUAGGAUGGGCCCGCGGCGCAUAGCUAGUUGGUGGAGGUAACGGCUCACCAAGGCGACGAUGCGUAGCCGACUGAGAGGGUGAUCGGCCACACUGGGACUGAGACACGGCCCAGACUCUACGGGAGGCAGCAGUAGGGAAUCUUCCACAAUGGGCGAAAGCCUGAUGGAGCAACGCCGCGUGAGUGAAGAAGGAUUUCGGUUCGUAAAACUCUGUUGUAAGGGAAGAACAAGUACAGUAGUAACUGGCUGUACCUUGACGGUACCUUAUUAGAAAGCCACGGCUAACUACGUGCCAGCAGCCGCGGUAAUACGUAGGUGGCAAGCGUUGUCCGGAAUUAUUGGGCGUAAAGCGCGCGCAGGUGGUUUCUUAAGUCUGAUGUGAAAGCCCACGGCUCAACCGUGGAGGGUCAUUGGAAACUGGGAGACUUGAGUGCAGAAGAGGAUAGUGGAAUUCCAAGUGUAGCGGUGAAAUGCGUAGAGAUUUGGAGGAACACCAGUGGCGAAGGCGACUAUCUGGUCUGUAACUGACACUGAGGCGCGAAAGCGUGGGGAGCAAACAGGAUUAGAUACCCUGGUAGUCCACGCCGUAAACGAUGAGUGCUAAGUGUUAGGGGGUUUCCGCCCCUUAGUGCUGCAGCUAACGCAUUAAGCACUCCGCCUGGGGAGUACGGUCGCAAGACUGAAACUCAAAGGAAUUGACGGGGGCCCGCACAAGCGGUGGAGCAUGUGGUUUAAUUCGAAGCAACGCGAAGAACCUUACCAGGUCUUGACAUCCCGUUGACCACUGUAGAGAUAUGGUUUCCCCUUCGGGGGCAACGGUGACAGGUGGUGCAUGGUUGUCGUCAGCUCGUGUCGUGAGAUGUUGGGUUAAGUCCCGCAACGAGCGCAACCCUUGAUCUUAGUUGCCAUCAUUUAGUUGGGCACUCUAAGGUGACUGCCGGUGACAAACCGGAGGAAGGUGGGGGAUGACGUCAAAUCAUCAUGCCCCUUAUGACCUGGGCUACACACGUGCUACAAUGGGACGAUACAAACGGUUGCCAACUCGCGAGAGGGAGCUAAUCCCGAUAAAGUCGUUCUCAGUUCGGAUUGUAGGCUGCAACUCGCCUACAUGAAGCCGGAAUCGCUAGUA